rnacentral:lncRNA from 1 species
CUUUAUACCACCCACAACUAGUAUGGUGUUUGUGCGAUCCUGUAAGGAAGCAUCAGGGGACAGAGGCCAAACAGAAGACUUCUCUUCUUUGCCUCUUUGUACUUACAAUCUUCUCAUCUUCCAUCCCUCUGCCCAUGGACUCCUAAGCUACUGGCAGAAAAUUCGUGGUGGCUCAUGCCUGUAAUCCCAGCACUUUGGGAGGCUGAGGCGGGUGGGUCACGAGGUAAGGAGAUCAAGACCAUCCUGGCCAACAUGGUGAAACCCCGUCUCUACUAAAAAUACAAAAAUUAGCUGGGUGUGCUGGCACGCACCUAUAAUCCCAGCUACUUGGGAGGCUGAGGCAGAAUAGCUUGAACCUGGGAGGCAGAGAUUGUAGUGAGCCAAGGUAGCAUCACUGCACUCCAGCCUGGAGACAGAAUGAGACUCCGUCGCAAAAAAAAAAUUACAAAUAAAAUAAAUAAAUAAAUAAAAAUAAAAAGUCCUUUGGAAAUGAAAAUGGGAUUUCCUAAUUUAGGUGUUUCUUCUUUCUUUCUUUCUUUUUUUUUUUUAGGUGUUUCAUAAGUAAUUCUGCUUAUUGUAUUUUCUUAAAAAUGGAAACACUGUUCAAGUUUUCUCUUCCUUUAUUAACUCAGGUAGUUCCUGAGCAUCUACCAUAUUAAAGGAAUUAUACUAGAUGAUUAAAGGAUGCAAACAGGAAUACAACACAGUCCCUGACUUUUCUCCCUCUACAAAAUCAGUAGAAGUGGAUUAAUAUGUAACUCUUCCUCUGAAAUAAGGAGUCUAUUUCAUGGUUGUUCUGUAGUGACAAUGCCUCGGGGAUCCCACCUUCAUCACCUUUGCACCCAACUGUCCAUCACUCCUGUGCAGGGGAUGUAAUAUUCAUAUAUUCUUUCAAUAAUUUAUUCAUUUAUCCAUCAAUAUCACCUUUUAUGAGACAGUGGUAAGCAACAGAGAUAUAAAAUGAAUAACAUAGUCCUGCCCUUAACAGUUUGGUUUAGCAAGCAUUUAUUCAAUGUACACCAUAUACAGUAUCAAUAACUGCAAAGUGCUAACAUAUAGAUGUGUACCUACAUUUUAGGGAAAGCUUUCAAGAAUGAUGUCAGAGUUGAGCCUUAAGGAAUUAGCAGGAGUUUGCUUGAUGAAGAGAAAGGAAGGGAAGGGCAUAUCCAGGUCUGAGAAAAAUGCCCAGAGUAUGUGGGGGAGGCAGGAGCUGAAAAAGUAGGCAGGAGCUAAAUCAUAACAGGCCUGUAUGACAAACUAAGGAGUUUGCACUUUAUUCUGGACAGAAUGGGGAACAACUGGAGGAUUUUAAGAGGAAUGACAUGAACAGAUGUUUUGUUGUUGUUAGUCUCACCCAAGGAUGGACUGGAGAUUGGACUGGAAGGAAGCCAGGGCUGAAUGCAGACAAACUAAUUAGGAGGCUGUUGCUGUCAUCUCAAUGAGAAAUGAUGAGAAGAACAUAAUCUAUGUCACAGGCACAGA